UCCCUGGUGGUCCAGUGGCUAAGAUUACCCACUCACAAUGCAGGGAGCCCAGGUUCAACCCCUGGUCAGGGAA
rfam:TPA: Bos taurus chromosome 7, whole genome shotgun sequence.